UGUCUCAUCCUAAAUUGGCAAGGACGUU
rnacentral:piRNA from 1 species